rnacentral:rRNA from 1 species
CCUACGGGUGGCAGCAGUCGAGAAUUUUUCUCAAUGGGCGCAAGCCUGAAGGAGCGACGCCGCGUGGGGGAUGAAGGGUUUCGAUCCGUAAACCCCUGUCAUUUGUGAACAAUGGUUAUUAUUUAAAAGAUGAUGACUUGAUAGUAAUGAAAGAGGAAGGGACGGCUAACUCUGUGCCAGCAGCCGCGGUAAUACAGAGGUCCCGAGCGUUGUUCGGAUUCACUGGGCGUAAAGGGUGCGUAGGUGGCUUGGUAAGUUUGAUGUGAAAGCUCAGGGCUCAACCCUGAAAUGGCAUUGAAUACUAUUGAGCUGGAGGUUUGGAGGGGGGACUGGAAUUCUCGGUGUAGCAGUGAAAUGCGUAGAUAUCGAGAGGAACACCAGUGGCGAAGGCGAGUCCCUGGACAACACCUGACACUGAGGCACGAAAGCUAGGGGAGCAA